rnacentral:rRNA from 1 species
GAUGAACGCUGACAGAAUGCUUAACACAUGCAAGUCCACUUGAACUUCGGUUUGGGUGGCGGACGGGUGAGUAACGCGUAAAGAACUUGCCUCACAGAUAGGGACAACAUUUGGAAACGAAUGCUAAUACCUGAUAUUAUGAUUUUAGGGCAUCCUAGGAUUAUGAAAGCUAUAUGCGCUGUGAGAGAGCGUUGCGUCCCAUUAGCUAGUUGGAGAGGUAACGGCUCACCAAGGCGAUGAUGGGUAGCCGGCCUGAGAGGGUGAUCGGCCACAAGGGGACUGAGACACGGCCCUUACUCCUACGGGAGGCAGCAGUGGGGAAUAUUGGACAAUGGACCAAGAGUCUGAUCCAGCAAUUCUGUGUGCACGAUGAAGUUUUUCGGAAUGUAAAGUGCUUUCAGUUGGGAAGAAAAAAAUGACGGUACCAACAGAAGAAGGGACGGCUAAAUACGU